rnacentral:rRNA from 1 species
UACGUAGGGUGCGAGCGUUAAUCGGAAUUACUGGGCGUAAAGCGUGCGCAGGCGGUUUGUUAAGACAGGUGUGAAAUCCCCGGGCUUAACCUGGGAAUGGCAUUUGGGACUGCAAGGCUUGAGUGCGGCAGAGGAGACUGGAAUUCCUGGUGUAGCAGUGAAAUGCGUAGAUAUCAGGAGGAAUACCGAUGGCGAAGGCAGGUCUCUGGGCUGACACUGACGCUCAUGCACGAAAGCGUGGGGAGCAAACAGG